rnacentral:rRNA from 1 species
AGUGAACGCUGGCGGCAGGCCUAAUACAUGCAAGUCGAACGGCAGCACAGCAGAGCUUGCUCUGUGGGUGGCGAGUGGCGGACGGGUGAGGAAUACAUGGGAAUCUGCCCAGUCGUGGGGGAUAACGUAUGGAAACGUACGCUAAUACCGCAUGCGCCCUACGGGGGAAAGUCGGGGACCGCAAGGCCUGACGCGAUUGGAUGAGCCCAUGUUCGAUUAGCUGGUUGGCGGGGUAAAGGCCCACCAAGGCGACGAUCGAUAGCUGGUCUGAGAGGAUGAUCAGCCACACUGGAACUGAGACACGGUCCAGACUCCUACGGGAGGCAGCAGUAGGGAAUAUUGGACAAUGGGGGCAACCCUGAUCCAGCCAUGCCGCGUGAGUGAAGAAGGCCCUCGGGUUGUAAAGCUCUUUUGUCCGGAAAGAAAUCAUGCUGGUUAAUACCUGGUAUGGAUGACGGUACCGAAAGAAUAAGCACCGGCUAACUUCG